rnacentral:rRNA from 1 species
GCCGACAGCUAGCUCUCUGCAACUCUCACAUGGUCGCCCACUGAAUCCAAGCAGGGCUGCGCGCGGUCAAUACCUGGAUGGGAGACCACAUUGGAAAGCUAGGUUGAUGCCGAAG